rnacentral:lncRNA from 1 species
GUGUGCUCAGGUCCGUGCAGGUUGUUGGGGCUGUGCGGCUGCCCUGAGCUCUGGGUGCUGGGUGCUCCCUGCGUGUGUGUGCUGGGUGCCCUCUGCGUGUGUGUGCUGGGUGCCCUCUGCGUGUGUGCUGGGUGCCCUGUGUGCUCAGGGCAGUGCAGGUUGUUGGGGCUGUGCGGCUGCCCUGCGUGUGUGUGCUGGGUGCCCUGCGUGUGUGUGCUGGGUGCCCUGCGUGUGCUCAGGGCUCUGUGUGCUGGGUGCUCU